CCGAGGCUUGAUUCAUGAUUCGCACGACUCGUCUGGCAGCGCUACUACUACUAAACGCAUUUACUGUGCGCGGUAGAGUGCUGGGCGACGGUUGCCACUGAGUGACAUCAAGCCAUCAGCAAAAUACAGAAACCCGCGCCAAUGCGCGGGUUUUUUU
rfam:Cronobacter sp. DJ34 Bact_Abyss2_96, whole genome shotgun sequence.